GGCCUUUUGAAUUUAAUUUAAGGUCUGACCUGCCCAGUGAUGAAUUUAACGGCCGCGGUAUAUUGACCGUGCAAAGGUAGCAUAAUCAUUAGUCUUUUAAUAGAGGGCUGGAAUGAAUGGUUUAACGAGGAACUAGCUGUCUCAUUUUAUUUGUUUUAGAAUUUAAUUUUUUAGUUAAAAAGCUAAAAUUUUAUUGGAAGACGAGAAGACCCUAUAGAUCUUUAUAUAAUUUUAUUUGUUUAUUUAUAUAUUAAUGUAAUUAUAUUUAAAUUAUAUUUUGUUGGGGUGACAAAAAUAUAUAAUUAACUUUUUCAUUUAUUUACCAUUUAUAUAUGAGUAUUAGAUCCAUUUUUAGUGAUUGUUAGAAUAAGUUACCUUAGGGAUAACAGCGUAAUCCUCCUCCAGAGUUCAUAUUUACAGGAGGGCUUGCGACCUCGAUGUUGGAUUAAGAUAAUAAUUAGGUGUAGCCGCUUAAUGUAUAGGUCUGUUCGACCUUUAAAUUCUU
rnacentral:rRNA from 1 species